GAUGAACGCUAGCGGCAGGCUUAACACAUGCAAGUCGAGGGGUAUAGGUUUUCGGACCUAGAGACCGGCGCACGGGUGUGUAACGCGUAUGCAAUCUACCUUUCACAGAGGGAUAGCCCAGAGAAAUUUGGAUUAAUACCUCAUAGUAUAGCAGUUUCGCAUGAAACCACUAUUAAAGUAUCAACGGUGAAAGAUGAGCAUGCGUCCCAUUAGCUAGAUGGUAAGGUAACGGCUUACCAUGGCUACGAUGGGUAGGGGUCCUGAGAGGGAGAUCCCCCACACUGGUACUGAGACACGGACCAGACUCCUACGGGAGGCAGCAGUGAGGAAUAUUGGUCAAUGGACGCAAGUCUGAACCAGCCAUGCCGCGUGCAGGAUGACGGUCCUAUGGAUUGUAAACUGCUUUUGUACGAGAAGAAACAACAUUACGUGUAAUGUCUUGACGGUAUCGUAAGAAUAAGGAUCGGCUAACUCCGUGCCAGCAGCCGCAGUAACAC
rnacentral:rRNA from 1 species